rnacentral:rRNA from 1 species
GACGAACGCUGGCGGCGUGCUUAACACAUGCAAGUCGUACGGUAAGGCCCUUUCGGGGGUACACGAGUGGCGAACGGGUGAGUAACACGUGAGUAACCUGCCCACAACUUUGGGAUAACGCUAGGAAACUGGUGCUAAUACUGGAUAUGUGCUCCUGCGGCAUGGUGGGGGUUGGAAAGCUCCGGCGGUUGUGGAUGGACUCGCGGCCUAUCAGCUUGUUGGUGGGGUAGUGGCCUACCAAGGCGGCGACGGGUAGCCGGCCUGAGAGGGUGACCGGCCACAUUGGGACUGAGAUACGGCCCAGACUCCUACGGGAGGCAGCAGUGGGGAAUAUUGCACAAUGGGCGCAAGCCUGAUGCAGCAACGCCGCGUGCGGGAUGACGGCCUUCGGGUUGUAAACCGCUUUCAGCAGGGACGAAGCUUUUUGUGACGGUACCUGCAGAAGAAGCACCGGCUAACUACGUG